rnacentral:tRNA from 1 species
UGUUCUGUUGUUUAAUUGGUUAAAGCGCCGGUCUAGCGAAUACGAAAUCGUGGGUUCGAAUCCCACCAGAACGC